AUGAUUCUGAAAUCCUCCGUGUUAAUCCUUUGGACUCAACUGGCAUGGGUGAACACUCAGCAGCUGGAACAGAGUCCUCGGUUUCUAAGCAUCCAGGAAGAAGAAGAUUUCUCUACGUACUGCAACUCCUCAAACCCUUUUCCCAGCUUACAGUGGUACAGACAGGAGCCUGGAGAAAGUCUUGUCCACCUGAUGACAUUAGUUAAGGGCGGAGAAGUGAAGGAGCAGAAGAGACUAACCUUUAAGUUUGGUGAGGCAAGAAUGAGCAGCUCCCUGCACAUCACCAAGGCCCAGCCUGGGGAUGCAGGCCUCUACCUCUGCGCAAGGGCACAGUGCUUUCCGAGCACCUGCUGCCUGCACCUAAAUCCUGCUGCCAACCCCAGUCACACUGCCACCCUGUGCCUCCAGCAGCUCCUUACCCAGCUUAUGGCAUAA